rnacentral:rRNA from 1 species
GUGAACGCUGGCGGCGUGCUUAACACAUGCAAGUCGAACGAUGAAGUCCUUCGGGAUGGAUUAGUGGCGCACGGGUGAGUAAACUAUAGUUAAUGUGCCUCGAAGACUGGGAUAGCCACUGGAAACGGUGAUUAAUACUAGAUACACCUCUUUAGCUCAAGCUGGAGAGGGAAACGUUUUUUCGCUUCGAGAUCAGACUAUAUCCUAUCAGUUAGUUGGUGAGGUAAUGGCUCACCAAGGCAAUGACGGGUAGCGGUUCUGAGAGGAUGAUCCGCCACACUGGUACUGAGACACGGACCAGACUCCUACGGGAGGCAGCAGUGAGGAAUAUUGCACAAUGGGGGAAACCCUGAUGCAGCAACGCCGCGUGGAGGAUGACGCAUUUCGGUGUGUAAACUCCUUUUAUAUGUCAAGAAAAUGACGGUAGCAUAUGAAUAAGCACCGGCUAACUCCGU